rnacentral:rRNA from 1 species
UACGGAGGGGGCGAGCGUUAUUCGGAAUUAUUGGGCGUAAAGGGCGCGUAGGCGGCUGAACAAGUCAAAGGUGAAAUCCCUCGGCUCAACUGAGGAACUGCCUUUGAAACUGUUCGGCUCGAGGCCGGGAGGGGGUAGCGGAAUUCCCAGUGUAGCGGUGAAAUGCGUAGAUAUUGGGAGGAACACCAGUGGCGAAGGCGGCUACCUGGACCGGUUCUGACGCUGAGGUGCGAAAGCGUGGGGAGCAAACAGG